rnacentral:lncRNA from 1 species
GUCAAUGUGGAGGCUAUAUACAGGGUGUUACGGUACAGAGUCAAUGUGGAGGCUAUAUACAGGGGGUACCGGUACAGAGUCAAUGUGGAGGCUAUAUACAGGGGGUACCAGUACAGAGUCAAUGUGGAGGCUAUAUACAGGGGGUACCAGUACAGAGUCAAUGUGGAGGCUAUAUACAGGGGGAACCGGUACAGAGUCAAUGUGGAGGCUAUAUACAGGGGGAACCAGUACAGAGUCAAUGUGGAGGCUAUAUACAGGGGGUACCAGUACAGAGUCAAUGUGGAGGCUAUAUACAGGGGGAACCGGUACAGAGUCAAUGUGGAGGCUAUAUACAGGGGGUACCGGUACAGAGUCAAUGUG